AUUGAACGCUGGCGGCAGGCUUAACACAUGCAAGUCGAGCGAGCGGCGGACGGGUGAGUAAUGUCUGGGAAACUGCCUGAUGGAGGGGGAUAACUACUGGAAACGGUAGCUAAUACCGCAUACCAUCAGAUGUGCCCAGAUGGGAUUGGCUAGUAGGGGGGGUAAUGGAUCACUUAGGCAACGAUCCCUAGCUGGUCUGAGAGGAUGACCAGCCACACCGGAACGGAGGCGCGGUCCAGACUCCAACGGGAGGGAGCAGUGGGAAAUAUUGGACAAUGGGCGUAAGACUGAUGCAGCAAUGCGGCGUGUGUGAAGAAGGCCUUCGGGUUGUAAAGCACUUUCAGCGAGGAGGCGUUACGCGCAGAAGAAGCACCGGCUAACUCCGUGCCAGCAGCCGCGGUAAGAC
rnacentral:rRNA from 1 species